rnacentral:rRNA from 1 species
CCCUUAGAUGUUCUGGGCCGCACGCGCGCUACACUGUUCGACGCAGCGAGUCUUAACCUUGACCGAAAGGUUUGGGUAAUCUUCAGCAAAGUCGAACGUGAUGGGGAUCGAUCAUUGCAAUUAUUGAUCGUGAACGAGGAAUUCCUAGUAAGUGCAAGUCAUCAGCUUGCGCUGAUUACGUCCCUGCCCUUUGUACACACCGCCCGUCGCUCCUACCGAUUGAGUGGUCCGGUGAGGCUUUGGGAUCUGAGCAAAGAGAGCGUUUCGCUCGUUUUGCUCGGAAAACUCAGUCGAACCUUAUCAUUUAGAGGAAGGAGAAGUCGUAACA